rnacentral:rRNA from 1 species
GACGAACGCUGGCGGCAUGCCUAAUACAUGCAAGUCGAGCGAACAGAUGAAGUGCUUGCACUUCUGACGUUAGCGGCGAACGGGUGAGUAACACGUAAGGAAUCUACCUAUAAGCGGGGGAUAACAUUCGGAAACGGGUGCUAAUACCGCAUAAUAUCUUCUUCCGCAUGGAAGAAGAUUGAAAGACGGCUCUGCUGUCACUUAUAGAUGACCUUGCGGUGCAUUAGUUAGUUGGUGGGGUAACGGCCUACCAAGACGAUGAUGCAUAGCCGACCUGAGAGGGUGAUCGGCCACAUUGGGACUGAGACACGGCCCAAACUCCUACGGGAGGCAGCAGUAGGGAAUCUUCCGCAAUGGGCGAAAGCCUGACGGAGCAAUGCUGCGUGAGUGAAGAAGGCCUUCGGGCCGUAAAACUCUGUUAUAAGAGAAGAACAAAUUGUAGAGUAACUGCUACAGUCUUGACGGUAUCUUAUCAGAAAGCCACGGCUAACUACGUGCCAGCCGCCGCUGUAA